rnacentral:rRNA from 1 species
GCACGUAGUUAGCCGGGGCUUCUUCUGGAGGUACCGUCACCCUCUGGGCUAUUCACCCGAGUAGCUUCGUCCCUCCUGAAAGCGGUUUACAACCCGAAGGCCUUCUUCCCGCACGCGGCGUCGCUGCGUCAGGGUUUCCCCUAUUGCGCAAGAUUCCCCACUGCUGCCUCCCGUAGGAGUCUGGGCCGUGUCUCAGUCCCAGUGUGGCUGAUCGUCCUCUCAGACCAGCUACCGAUCGGAGCCUUGGUGAGCCAUUACCCCACCAACAAGCUAAUCGGCCGCGAGCUCGUCCUCGGCCAGAGGCCGAAGCUACCUUUUCCAGCCGCUCCGAAAAGCGGAUGGGCCAUCCGGUAUUAAUCCGGGUUUCCCCGGGCUAUCCCGGUGCCGAGGGUUGAUUACUCACGUGUUACUCACCCGUUCGCCGCUGUCCCCAGGCCCGAAGGCCUGGUUCUCGCUCGACUUGCAUGUGUUAGGCGCGCCGCCAGCGUUCGUC